CAAAGCAGGAAGCAAUUCCCAGCCCAGCUAAAACCAAGGGGGGGGGCAGGCUGGAGGACAAACAGGGGCUCCCCACCCCCGCAGCAACGCAGCUGUUCAGCCUCCUCACUCUCCUGCCUGUCAGAUGCUCCCCCUCAGUGGAUUGCCACUGGCCUGCCGGCACCCUGAAGAAUGGCUGCAAGAGGCACAGCCUUUGUUGACUCAAGAGCUGCAGCUGCACUGAAGGAGAGCUACAGAGAUGGAAAUAUUUUAACAUAGGUGCAACACAAUCCCCGCAGGAUCAGCGAGCAAGAGGCUGACGCUCAGUCAAGCAGAGGCAGUGAAACCACGCCCUACAACAAUGAGACGAGCAGCAGCAGACAGUCCCUACUGCAUGGGACUGAAACCCAAGUAUGCCAAGAAGAUCCAUGGGCUCGCCAGACAUGACACGGACCACCUGAAUUAAGCCCGUGGACCACCAGUGAUCCGCAGACCACAGGUUGGGAACCCCUGCCUUGUUGGGCUGUGACCCACAGGCAUUACUGUUUCUAGUAGUUUUCCAUAAAGCCUGCAAGUUUGGAGAAGUAACACUGUUAUGUCUUUGCUGGCUUGAGAGCAAACACUCCAAGGCCAGCCGUUGUCAUGGUAACGUGAGAUAGCAACUGGGAAAGUUCUCACAGAGUUUGUAAGUUGUGUCCUUCUGUAUCAUGCCUCUGAACUGAGAGGUUGUGUUCUGUGUUUACCUUUGGAGAGAGAUGGACCAGAAGGGGGG